UUUAUAUUCAAUAUUCAUAAAAAGUUCUGGAAAAUUCAGUGCCCAUAACAAAAACAAUAACAGUCUCCAACACAUGUAACAACUAAUAAGAAUAACUUUUGUUUUAUUUGAGAUGGAAUAAAAAAAAUCAGCUACCAUAUUUGUUGAUGGAAUAACCUGCAUGUUUUACAUUUUCUAAUUUUCUGGGUGAUAAGCCGUGGCUGAUGGGGGCCCCUGAAUGUCUGUUAGUUUUUUAACUAACCCUACCUAAUGAGCGUUACACCACUGGUUACAAGUGUUGUUUAAUUGGUAUGUUGGCAAAUUAAUGAACUUUAUGCAAAAUCAGAAUCAAAGUAUUUCAGAUGCCAAUACUGAGAAAUUUUAGGGUUUAAAAUUAUUAUUUCUCAGUCACAACAAGAAUUGCCUAGCUGCGGCAAAUAUACGAUUGUCCAUUGCUUGUAACUGGGUUUUUUCCAUGUUAUCUGUAUACAAAGAGAAUACUUCUUAGCACAUUAUUAUUAAAAAAUCACUAUGGCAAUAUGCCAUACUCGGCAGUCUUUUAUAGGAUCAAACAACGAUAUGAGAGUGCAUGAGAACAAACAAUUCCCAUUAUAAACUAAUUUUUUUAACUUGGCAAAAAAAGUACAUUCCUGGAAACAGGAUACUAAAAUGAGUAAAAUUGCAAAGUUUGGUUGCGAAAUGUAGUAAAAUGCGGAAAAUAUAGCCUUGCAAAUGUGUGCGGAAAUUGCACCACAUUUGUGCCGAAAAUGGGCCAUUCCAUUUAAUAUCCGUACCCCCCCCCUGUCGAGGAUCCCUGGAAUUCUUCAGGGGUAAAGGGUUUUGAGCUUGGAAUUCUUCAGGGGUAAAGUGUUUUGAGCUUGGAAUUCUUCAGGGGUAAAGUGUUUUGAGGUUGGAAUUCUUCAGGGGUAAAGGGUUUUGAGCUUGGAAUUCUUCAGGGGUAAGGAGGUUUGAUUUGAAAUUUUUCAGAGCUUGGAAUUCUUCAGGGGUAAAGGCUUUUCUGCUUGGAAUUCUUCAGGGGUAAAAGGUUUUGAGCUUGGAAUUUUUCAGGAGUAAAGGGUUUUGAGUUUGGAAUUCUUCAGGGGUAAAGGGUUUUGAGCUUGGAAUUCUUCAGGGGUAAAAGGUUUUGAGCUUGGAAUUCUUCAGGGGUAAAGGGUUUUGAGCUUGGAAUUUUGGAAUUCUUCAGGGGUAAAAGAUUUUGAGCUUGGAAUUCUUCAGGUGUAAAGGGUUUUGAGCUUGGAAUUUUGGAAUUCUUCAGGGGUAAAAGGUUUUAAGCUUGGAAUUCUUCAGCGGUAUAACCAUGAAAAACAUGUAUCCUCGACAGGGGGUGAACGGAUAUUAAAUGGAAUAGCCCAUUGUACAAUACCUAUUGUGAGAUUACAGCUGUCCUGAGAGCUUUUAAAAUAUCAUUUGCCAGCAAGGCAAGGAGCUCCAUUAAAGCCUUGUCCCAUUAAGCAGAUUCUAUUUACAUCCAAAUAAACAGCAACUUGCGAAUAUAUUUAUUGUUGCAAUUUACGAAGUUCCAACUUUGUGAAAAUUGUGAACUUUGGUCGUCUAUUUCAGGCUUCCAGCCUUCCAAGUUUACUCAUAUAAGAUGACUUUCGGUUUAUAAAGUCUGGCUGAUGGGAAAACUAUUAAGUUUCAUCGAAAAAAUGAAGAAAAUAUGCACUAAAUCGAUGAAAUUAUUUCCAAAUACGCUCCCAAGUAAGCG